rnacentral:rRNA from 1 species
GACGAACGCUGGCGGCGUGCCUAAUACAUGCAAGUCGAGCGGAACCAUUGGAGCUUGCUCCUUUGGUUUAGCGGCGGACGGGUGAGUAACACGUGGGCAACCUGCCCUGCAGAUCGGGAUAACUCCGGGAAACCGGUGCUAAUACCGAAUAGUUUGCGGCCUCUCAUGAGGCUGUACGGAAAGACGGUUUCGGCUGUCACUGCAGGAUGGGCCCGCGGCGCAUUAGCUAGUUGGUGAGGUAACGGCUCACCAAGGCCACGAUGCGUAGCCGACCUGAGAGGGUGAUCGGCCACACUGGGACUGAGACACGGCCCAGACUCCUACGGGAGGCAGCAGUAGGGAAUCUUCCGCAAUGGACGAAAGUCUGACGGAGCAACGCCGCGUGAGUGAAGAAGGUUUUCGGAUCGUAAAACUCUGUUGUGAGGGAAGAACAAGUACCAAUUAACUACUGGUACCUUGACGGUACCUCACCAGAAAGCCACGGCUAACUACGUGCCAGCAGCCGCGGUAACAC